rnacentral:rRNA from 1 species
GACGAACGCUGGCGGCGUGCUUAACACAUGCAAGUCGAACGGAAAGGCCCUGCUUUUGUGGGGUGCUCGAGUGGCGAACGGGUGAGUAACACGUGAGUAACCUGCCCUUGACUUUGGGAUAACUUCAGGAAACUGGGGCUAAUACCGGAUAGGAGCUCCUGCUGCAUGGUGGGGGUUGGAAAGUUUCGGCGGUUGGGGAUGGACUCGCGGCUUAUCAGCUUGUUGGUGGGGUAGUGGCUUACCAAGGCUUUGACGGGUAGCCGGCCUGAGAGGGUGACCGGCCACAUGGGGACUGAGAUACGGCCCGGACCCCUACGGGAGGCAGCAGUGGGGAAUAUUGCACAAUGGGGGGAAGCCUGAUGCAGCAACGCCGCGUGCGGGAUGGCGGCCUUCGGUUUGGAAACCGCUUUCGCCUGGGACGAAGCGUGAGUGACGGUAAUGGGUAAAGAAGCACCGGCUAACUACGUG